rnacentral:rRNA from 1 species
CCUACUCCUACGGAGGCAGCAGUGGGGAAUAUUGCACAAUGGGCGCAAGCCUGAUGCAGCCAUGCCGCGUGUAUGAAGAAGGCCUUCGGGUUGUAAAGUACUUUCAGCGGGGAGGAAGGGAGUAAAGUUAAUACCUUUGCUCAUUGACGUUACCCGCAGAAGAAGCACCGGCUAACUCCGUGCCAGCAGCCGCGGUAAUACGGAGGGUGCAAGCGUUAAUCGGAAUUACUGGGCGUAAAGCGCACGCAGGCGGUUUGUUAAGUCAGAUGUGAAAUCCCCGGGCUCAACCUGGGAACUGCAUCUGAUACUGGCAAGCUUGAGUCUCGUAGAGGGGGGUAGAAUUCCAGGUGUAGCGGUGAAAUGCGUAGAGAUCUGGAGGAAUACCGGUGGCGAAGGCGGCCCCCUGGACGAAGACUGACGCUCAGGUGCGAAAGCGUGGGGAGCAAACAGGAUUAGAUACCCCGGUAGUCCGAA